AUAUAAAACAAAAAAAAAAUUGAUUUUUCUUAUACUUCUCUCUCGCGACUUGGUGAGGUACGAUCGGAGACCAGCAAUUCGGAUCCUUUCCUUCACCAAUUCGGAGACGGUCCCAUGGGUUCUUUGAUUUUGCGAAAAUUAAACCAUGGGUCAUACUCUCGGCCUCACAAGGUUUGUUUUUGCUUUACUCUGACUGAUAUGAGAUGGGUUUUGUAUCGAUUUCAAUGAUCCGUAGAUUAGCUUUGUUCCUUUGAUCAAUCGAGUUCAAAGUUUUGAUUUUUUUUCUUUUUUUUGAUGACGAGUUCGGGUCUUGGAGCAAAGCGAAUCGCUUUGAUCGGUCUUGGACACUCUGUUCCAUCAGCUGGUGUUGCUAUGAUGAAGGAAAGCGUACUGCAGAAACCUUGGCCAUGGAUUAUCACAGAGGGGCUGGUGUUGAGGUUAGAAUUGCUCGUAUUUUUAACACGUAUGGACCCAGAAUGUGCCUUGAUGAUGGGCGUGUUGUUAGUAACUUCGUUGCCUAGGUUUAGCUCUUUCAUCAGCCACGCAGGUAGCAUACGUCCAGUGAACGCCACUAGCCCUUACUCCAAGUGCAGUUGCAACUCCAAUUCUUCUGACCAAAUCUGCGUCUGUAAGAUCUUGAAAUGUCAACAAAAUGUCUAAAACCUCCGUUACAUACAAAAAUCUCUCUGUCUCUCUACCCUCUUUUGCAGAAGAUAGAAAUUAAAGUUUGGUCAAAAUGAA